GGCUCCGUAGAGCAGUGCGGUUCUUGCGCUGUCCGGUGCGCCCGCGUCGGCCCUUGAAAAUCCGAGUGAGGGAGUGUGAUUUUCGUGCCGGACCGUACCUACAUCUGCAGCAGGCCUCCAAGGUAAACAGCCUCUAGUCGAUGGACCAAUGUAGGUAAGGGAAGUUGGCAAAACGGAUCCGUAACCUUGGGAUAGGGAUGGGCUCUGAGGACUGAGCCGGUCGGGCUGGGGACCUGAAGCAGGAAUGGCACUGCACCGGGACUGGGCGGGGCUCGCCGUUCACGCGGCGCGGCAAAGCCCGGACCAGCGUCGGGACCUUCCUGUGGAAAGCCUCAGCUGCGCGGCGUCCGAGGGCUUCGUGCCCAAAGUGCUAUGCUUCGGCCGGCAAAAAAAACAGUCAACUCAGAACUGGCACGGACCGGGGGAAUCCGACUGUCUAAUUAAAACAAAGCAUUGCGAUGGCUGCUGGUCGGUGUUGACGCAAUGUGAUUUCUGCCCAGUGCUCUGAAUGUCAAUGUGAAGAGAUUCAUCAAAGCGCGGGUAAACGGCGGGAGUAACUAUGACUCUCUUGUGUAAUGAAAUAGGAACGACCGUUCCACUCAAUUGCGGUCGAGCUUCUCUGGAGACGCCACCGGAGAGGGCUCCUGCGGU
rnacentral:ncRNA from 1 species